CAGUCGACGGACCCUUCGGGGUUAGUGGCGGACGGGUGAGUAACACGUGGGAACGUGCCUUUAGGUUCGGAAUAGCUCCUGGAAACGGGUGGUAAUGCCGAAUGUGCCCUUCGGGGGAAAGAUUUAUCGCCUUUAGAGCGGCCCGCGUCUGAUUAGCUAGUUGGUGAGGUAACGGCUCACCAAGGCGACGAUCAGUAGCUGGUCUGAGAGGAUGACCAGCCACACUGGGACUGAGACACGGCCCAGACUCCUACGGGAGGCAGCAGUGGGGAAUCUUGCGCAAUGGGCGAAAGCCUGACGCAGCCAUGCCGCGUGAAUGAUGAAGGUCUUAGGAUUGUAAAAUUCUUUCACCGGGGACGAUAAUGACGGUACCCGGAGAAGAAGCCCCGGCUAACUUCGUGCCAGC
rnacentral:rRNA from 1 species